rnacentral:lncRNA from 1 species
UUUUGGUCUUAAAAUAGGUUUGGAAUCCACUUUACAGAUUCAGAUUACAGAUUUAGCUUUAUAGAUAUACAGUAGGUUUUCAUUGUAAACCACUAUACUAUUUUAAAAGUGGAUUUCCAUCGGAAUGAGCAUACAUAUUUAAUUGGAGUAGUAUUUAGCACCGAGAUAGGUACGUUACUAUGGUUUCAUACCCUAGAACUACGGGCCAACAUAGGAUUUAGAUUGUUGCCACUUCUACGUGAGUGAUAGAUAGAUGAUCACUUAGAUAGGUUAUACUUUCUGGCAAAAGUAUGACUCUUCUCCCCAACAUGAGGAUUCCUCCUUAGGGAGACAAGAACGUUGGACUCCAUGAAUGCUCACAUGGUUUAUAUCGGUUAAAAGAACCUCCCAUGC